GCUUCUCUCACUUGGUCCUUGGGCAUCAAGAAGCUCUUUUCUGAAGUUGCUAUCCAGAUGACAGAAUUCGCCCUAGUUUUCUCUGCGUCUCUUAAUCCUCGCAGGUACUACACCGUCCUCUCAAUCAUACGCAUAUCAACCCGACCAGAAAGAUAGAGAUAGGUUCUCAACAGAUCCCCGUGGCGAUUCUCCUCCGCCGUCCAUGACCGGGUCCACUUGGCCCAAGGGCUCGCACUCGCGCCCAUCUCAUCUCUCACCCCAUCAAGCGUAUUGAUCAUCGUCUGAUACGUCAGCAAGGCGUCCUCCGUUAUCAUAUCUCCCACUAGCACCACGAAGUACUCGUCCGGAAGCUCCGCCGUCAGAUCACGUAGCUCCCUCACCUGCUCAGAAAACGCGUCGAACGGCUGCGCGGGGUCUGGCAGGAAGUCCUACGGCUGCCACAACUGCUCCACGGGCUUCAGAAGCGGUAGGACCCACUCGGAGGCCCACCCUUCCAGUGACUUGAACACUUCCACCUUUUUCGGUGGCAUUGAGUGCGUGACCUGUUGGCGCACCGGAGCUGCCACGGCUGAGAAGCCAUUGAGUGUGUUUUCAAACGCUAAGAAUAACCUUCAGCUUUGAUAGGUUUAGAAAUCAUUUACUUGGAUAGCCACAUAACUCAUAAGCAUCUUGUCAGGGCUCUCUUUGCUGAAAUGAACAGGUUGAGAGGGGGAAAAAGGUAUAUUAUUGUUAUAGUACUGAUGCAGAACUUAAAAUAUCUUUAGUGUCCCUUACCCCCAGUUGCAUCAUACAACAUUUAGUGGUUCAAAGGUCAGAUGGAAAAUUUAACUGUUCUUGUUGCCUAUAUGUUUGUCUUCACAAAUCACGGAUGACUUCAUUAGCUAGGCAUAUAUAUGAGCUGACAUGACUGUGCACAUGGCAUAUGUUGGAUAGGAAAAUACAUGUCCAUAUGUUUUCAUAGUGUUAGGAUAAACAUAUACCAAACAAACAAUUCUGUAAAUGAAAUAUCAUUUGAUUUAUUUUAAUUGUUGUCUAUAGAUGUGAUUUCAAUAUACUCAGUGAUUCUUAUUUUCGGUCUUUUCUUUGGUGUCAAAUUAAGCUAGAGAACCCCACUCUAACUUGUCUUAGCAUUCAAUGUAGGCAUGCACUCAAGUUUAAAAUAGGUUCCAAGUGUCAUUUUAUCAUUGCAUUUAUUUUCAAAACAAGUUUAAAUGAAAUAUCAUUGUAUUUGAUAUUACGGCGAAGUCUAGGCUACGAAUAUUAACCAACCCUGUAGGGAACUGAAUGUGAAAUUGCAUGUCUAUAUAUCAUGAUAUUAAAUCAUUGUUUUGAGGCUUUUAUACUAAUUUAUAUACUAUGAAUAACUCAGGGCUAUCUUUGACUUGUAUAGUUUGAUGGAAACCUUGGACAUUUCAGGGAAAGUGUUAGGUUAAAAAAUCAUAAUAAUGAUCUAAAUAUUUAAUAUCUUGGUUGAGGUUGGACCAAAACAAUAACUUCAUUAGGUUAAAAUGAUUUUUGUUUUAGGUUUUGCUCCUAGUUUUAGUCUCCAUAUGUUUUUGCUAUAUCAAUAUUUUAAUAUUUGAGAGUUGGUUUGUUUACUUGUGUUAUUAAGAAAUAAUCUAUUAUUGUCUAAUAAAGGUGUAGUGGCUAGCUUGCUAUUAAAAUUCUUCAUAAAGCUUGAUAUUUGAUUGCUUCUCAUUAUACAUUUUUCUUUUUAAUUUGUUAAUAUGCUCUAUAUUU